rnacentral:rRNA from 1 species
UACGGAGGGUGCAAGCGUUAAUCGGAAUUACUGGGCGUAAAGCGCACGCAGGUGGCUGAGUAAGUCGAUUGUGAAAGCCCUGGGCUCAACCUGGGAAUUGCAGUGGAUACUGGCGAGCUAGAGUGCGGUAGAGGAUGGUGGAAUUCCCGGUGUAGCGGUGAAAUGCGUAGAGAUCGGGAGGAACACCCGUGGCGAAGGCGGCCAUCUGGACCAGCACUGACGCUGAGGCACGAAAGCGUGGGGAGCAAACAGGG